GGCACACAGUGUUGGGGUCUCUGAGUAAUGUUUUCAAUGCUGGCUGUCUAGAUCCACAUGAAAAGAAGAGUGUGUGAGCCCCACGUCCAUGUGUCCUCCAGGUCUGCCCUCCAUCCACGUUCUUAGUCAACACACCCAUCUCUUGGCUGUUUCACUUUCCCCUGUGGACAUACCUUGGCCACAAAGGAACUGUUCGGAAUUACUAAUGUCUCAGGAAUGAAACAGAUCCCAGAGAGCUGUGACUGCCACAGUUGUGUUAAUUCAUGGAUUGAAGACUACAGUCACCACCAAAGAAAGCUGGAAUUAUCACCAACAGGGAGUCUGCAUAGAAGCAUGUAGCACAUGACAGAGAAGAGGAGCCACAGGAGAGGUGUCUGUGAGCAGGAGGACCCCUUGUGCAAGAGCCAAGAGCAAAUGUGUUGUAUAGCUCAGUGUUACAGGGGUGACAUUUUGGCUCUAAAAAAAUGUAGAAGUAUAAUGCCUGCAUUUCCUUGGGAAAGAGAAUUACGCAGGCUAGGAUUGGCUGAAUAGGUAAACACUCUGUGCCCAUUUUACUCAAAUCAGGACAAACUAGACAUUCCCUCAAGUGCCAUUUGACCAUGAAUGUGCACACGCACACACACACAUACACACACACACACACACAAAACACACACAUACACACACACACACACACACACACACACACACUCAAGUGCCAUGCGACCAUGAAUGUGCAGGCAGUACAGGCAAUACACACACACCCCUCUUGCAUUAUGCCAGUGUGUGCUCUGGCUCUGCAAACACAAUCCCAGGCAUGUGGGAUCAAAGGUCACACUAAGAAAGUCUACCACACUUAUCCUCCUGUUUAUCUGAUUCUUUAAGCCAAAGAACACUUGAGCCCAGAGUAACUGGAGAAACUUUAGCUGGAUGUAGCUGUCAGUGUGAACUACUACACACCCAAUCUCAGCUUCAUGUGACCACAUUUGCAAGUGUCUUUCCUUUAAACAACAAUGAAAUGUGGAGAUAAAAAUCUUUGGGUUGGAAUGGAGCUAAUGCAGUGAGAGUCUGAGGCCCAUGGGGGAGAAGCUUGCAGAACAAUUUCUAUUUAGGAAGAUUUAGGGCUCGAGAAAUGGCUCAGUAGGUAAGGGCACCAGUCCAAAUGCCCAACACCCUUCUAAAAUGUGGUUCACCAGCCUGUAACUACAGUACCCUGGGGAGCUGAGACAGGGGGAUCACUGGGGCUUGCUGGGUACCUCCAGGCUCAGUAAGAGACCCUGUCUCGGGGAAUAAGGCAGAUAGAGGAGGACAAUCAACCCACUCCUCUGUCCUCCAGGCAUAUGCACGCCCCCCCCUCCCAUCUCACUGUCUGUCUGUCUCUCUCUCAGAGACAGUUUUCCAUUCUUGCGAACUGUUGGCUGUUGGCCUGUUCAGAUGUCAGUCCCUUUCGCUAGCAAUCCUGUGUAUUCAUGUCAUACACUUACAGUAGAAUCAACAGGAAAACCAUGCCCUGAGGGUGUUUGUGGUGGCUUUUCCAUUGUAUUAUGAAAUUCCUCACCCAAAACCCACUUUGGUGGCCAUAUGAGUCUGAUUGAUCCCGGUAACGCAACCUGCUUCUGUUGUAUACGGUACAAUGAUAACACGUCAGUCUCAAACUCAUCUUCGUAAAAUCACUGAGCAAACUAUAUUCACCCAGACUUGGAAUAUCUGAUAAUUUGAUUUUUUUUGUACUAUACACAUAGAUAUGCAGUGCCUUCAAAACCAAUGUAUGGGCCAGGUGUGCUGGUACAUACCUGUGACCACAGCACUGGGAGGUGGAGAGUUCAAAGCCAACCUCCACUACAUAAUGCCUCCAUUACAGGAGCCCUUCUAACAAACAAAAAAAAAAAAGUAAUAAUGUUUAGGUCAAUAAAUCUUAUUGUAACAUAGUAUUUAGUAAGUAGUUCUGUAGUUGACUGGUUUGAAACCUAACAUUUUCCAGAAUCCCUUAGAUAUUACUUUGAAUCACAUAGCCUCAUGUUAAUAUACUGGUAGAAGAGUUAAGUAGUAAACGUACUGGAUGUUAUCUAGACAGCUUCCUGGUGGAAACAGAUUCAGAAGAGUCAUCAAAACAAUGGAGUGUUUAACCUGAAGAAAGUUUUGUGUUUCUUCAGAAACCCAAUGCAUUUACCUUCUCGAUGACUCUGCGAAAAUUGUCCUUCAUUUGGGAGACCACGGGGCAGCAGACCAACGUAUACCACAAGCCAUGUCUUCUGCCUUGAUGCUCGUGACCCCUGACAAAGAGGAGACGCACCCUCUGACCCAUACAGUGAGCCACUUUGGGUUGAGGGCGGGAGCUAAACAUUGGUUCUCUGUUAUCUUUUUAUUCACAGGGAAAUUAACAAUGAAGUUUGUGGAUAUCUAAAAAUAAAUGCCUAGCGGUGAGAAGAAUAAUAUUCAUUAGAGUGGAUCAAAUAUUUAGACCAAUACAAACACCUGCUUUGUUUGAUCUUUAAUUGAAUUAAAUUUCUACUUUGAA
rnacentral:lncRNA from 1 species